GUGAUGAAAUAGUUCAUGAGGAAAUUGGAAGAAUAGGAGAGAAUUGAUGACAGUUCGCAAUGGGUUGGAUCAAUUAUAAUACCUUCUAGUUUCAUCAGUCCGGUAAUUGCGCUCUUGGUCUCGAGAUGGAAAACAGUCAGAGGAUCAGAGGCUACAGUCUUCAGACAUUUGCAAGUUUUGAGGCUGGACAAUGGAACCAAGCAACAUCGAAGCUACAUGUCAGUUUUAUUUGAAUAUAGAUGCAACGUCUGGUUGGAAAAUGCAGGU
rnacentral:misc_RNA from 1 species